rnacentral:rRNA from 1 species
AUGAAAAAAAUAUGCAGAUAUGCUUCGGAAAGUUACAAAUUAAAGACGGUAAAUAAUAUUGAUAGGGAAAUCCUUGCAGUUGUAAAUGCAAUAAAUGCAUUUAGGCUAUAUCUAGGAUUUAAAGAAUUUACAGUGCAAACAGACUGUGAAGCUAUAUGUCGAUAUUACAAUAAAAUUAAUAGUAAGAAAAGCUCAACCAGAAGAUGGGUCUUAUUUGAAGACACCAUAGCUGGGAAUGGUUAUAAAGUUAUUUUUGAGCAUAUUAAGGGGAAGGAUAAUACCUUACCUGACAUAUUUUCUCGUGCAUCAAAUUUGUAG